rnacentral:rRNA from 1 species
ACGCUCGACACCUACAGGAGGCAGCAGUGAGGAAUAUUGGUCAAUGGACGCAAGUCUGAACCAGCCAUGCCGCGUGCAGGAUGACGGCUCUAUGAGUUGUAAACUGCUUUUGUACGAGGGUAAACGCAGAUACGUGUAUCUGUCUGAAAGUAUCGUACGAAUAAGGAUCGGCUAACUCCGUGCAAGCAGCCGCGGUAAUCUGAGCGGGCUGGCAAGGC